AGGAGAUACUCUGUACAUGGGUGCCUGCCUGGAUCACCACCUGGACAAAGAGACGGCACAGGUGGACAUGGGAGAGAAAGCAGACACGGGUCUGGAGUGGAAGCAGAAGACUUCCUAAAAAAUAAGUAGGGAAAUCAGCGGCAACACCUGAACAAAAGAGAUUCAGUCAGGCUGUUGUAAGAUCAUCCUUGGGUGCAUCAAAAAUGUGGACCACUGCCUGCAAGGGAGCGGAAAUUGACUGGAACACUGUCAUAAGCAAAAUCUGUCACAGCAGAGUUGCCCUGCAGCCUCACCGGCAAAGAGCAGGAAAUUCGGGAAAAAGCCUUAAAAAUGCUCCGAAACAGGAGGGAGGACCUCCGAAGGUCAGGAAAGAAAGAACAGAAGCACUUGAGGUUUGCCUCCAGGAUAUCACACCUCCUAUUAAGCGCCUU